rnacentral:rRNA from 1 species
UGCGUAGGGUCCUAGCGUUGUCCGGAAUUAUUGGGCGUAAAGAGCUCGUAGGCGGUGUGUCGCGUCGGAUGUGAAAGCCCGGGGCUUAACUUCGGGUCUGCAUUCGGUACGGGCAUGCUGGAGUUCGGUAGGGGAGACUGGAAUUCCUGGUGUAGCGGUGAAAUGCGCAGAUAUCAGGAGGAACACCGGUGGCGAAGGCGGGUCUCUGGGCCGAUACUGACGCUGAGGAGCGAAAGCGUGGGGAGCGAACAGG